CCUACGAACCCGAUGGUCGCUGGUUCAUUUCUCGACCAAGUCAUAUUUCACUUUUUAUUUUUUAUUUUAUUUUUUGCUUUUUUUCCGUUCUCCCGUUCAACUUAACCUCACUCUGCUUGUUUUGUUUACUUUUAUUUAAUUAGUUUUGACACCGAAAUUAAUGUGAACGUCAACAUUAUUUUUAUUUUGUAUGUAUUUAUUUUUGUUUUAACUUGAAUGUUUGUGGUGUUAAUCCUAUAGCUUUACCAAUGUCUGCAAGCAAAUCUUCAAUCUAGGGUGGGAAACGAAAAUUAUUUGAGAUUGGUGGUUGCUAUUUUUUUUUAAUCAUCAGAGCUCUUUAAUAAAAGAAUAAAUAAAGAUCCUCUUAAAAGCCAGCUCUAAGAAAAACAAAACACAUAGAAUAACAAGAAAUGUGACUGAACAUUUUUUAUUUUUAGUUUUUUACACUUUAAUAUUUUAUGAGUUUAAUUAAUCC